rnacentral:lncRNA from 1 species
UUGUAAUUCACAAACAUAUCAAAAAUACAUUGAACAUUAAACUUCAAAAUUAAAUUUUCAACAUUAGCAUCUUCAGACUCCAAAUUUUCAACAUUAACUAGUAUCUUCAAACUCCAAAAUCAAAUUUAAACACAAAAACUUCAAUAUUCUAAGAUUCACUCCGACCACACAAUUACAUCAUCAUAAUUGAAUAUUCAAGACAAUUUACAACGAAAUCAACGACUGCCAGUAGGAUCACUAUCAUCACGUAAUCUCCUUGCAUCCAUAGGCGAAAUGGGUCCACUAGACGCAUCACUUGGCUACAUAAAAAUGCAAAGUAUAAAAUCAAUUAGAUAAACUUUUAUGAUAAAUAUAAAUAGAUCAUCUUCGUUAGCAUCUCCUAUUUUUUUCCAAAGAGAAGUAAACAUAUGCAUUUCAUUUGUUAGGAAAUACACAUCUAAUUAGAGCCUGGACACUUGAAAAUGAUGUGAGGAAAAUGUCUGGCUACUACAAAGCAAAUAUUGAAUGGAACAUUAACAAGACAAAAUUUGGCAGAUCAACAUAGUAGUUACAUGAUCUAGUUUAGGGGAUUAAAAUGUUAUGUUGUCCUCAUUCCCAAUCUGCUCUUUCUCUUUUAGGGAAUGCAUAUUUUCCUACUCCUUAUGCUUUGUUUAGAUGCCAAAGUUUGAAGAGCAUCAUGUGAUUCACUUCUUGGGAUUUGAAUACUAGUCCUUGUUGAAAUGUAGGUGUCUUCCUAAGUAUGUGAAAGGGGAUUGUUGGACUAGUUUCAGUAGUAAUUUGUACAAUCCUGCAUUGAUUGGAUUUUCUUUUUCAUAUGAGAAAAAAAUAAUAAUGUGAGCAUGUGCAAUGUUUUUUUCAUAAUGAAGACCAGCAGCAAAAUGAGGAUAUCUAACAAGGUCAUUCAAAAAGCUACAAGUAUGUCCUAAUAUCUAGGAAUUUAAACCUACAAACUAGAGCAAUUGUAAAACCUUUCUAAUUUGGAACCAAAUUAGAACUUUCCCUUAUCGAUAUAUAUAAACACCCCAAAAAAAUGUUCUUUCAUAUCAGUAUAAUAUUUCUGAUGAAUGAGAUUCAAUUGAGCCCUUUUCUAGCUAUGUAUUGAGAACCCUGAUCAUUGGUGCCUUAAAAGUAUAAUGCCUUCCUAAAUAAUCUUUAUAAAAACUUAAAAAGCAAUAAUGAAAGAGCUAUUUUCCUUUUUUUUAAAGAACUUCUGAAUGUAGGCACCAAUACUAUAGCCUUUGGUAAAGUAACAAUAUCUUAUAUGACCAGAAAACAUGGGUCUCGGACUAAUGUUUGUCAAUGGUGGUAUGCAGGGGCUCUGAGGACUAUGGAAAAUCAGCUACAACUUAUAAAUCAAAGAAAAGGGAUGAGAUGGUAGAAGAGGGUUGAGAAUAGAGGGAAACUCUGGAGAUUAGUGAAGUGAUGUGUUGGGCUCCUCUACAUCUAAUCAUUCAUUCAAGCUUCCUAACCUAAUGUACUACAUUCCUUGACAUCCCCAACAGAAAUUGUACUCAUCAAUUUUGAUCCUCAAUAUAUUAGGUUCAAAAGUUGUGUGGUGUAAAAUUCCAUAAAAAGAACACUAUUAUAUAGAAGAUUUACAACUCACUAGUCACUACAUUAUCAUGCCAUAUGAAGUUUUCUAGCAUAAUUUCUUUUUUGAAAUAUUAUUUAAGCUUCUAACUUGAUCAGCGAAUAAAGUCCUAACAAAACUUCAAAUUUACUCAAAUACUAACAAUGAUAAAUGGAAUAAAGUAAAACAUGACAAUUAAUUAUUUGGAAUCAUGAAAAGUAAUGUAAUAUACUAUUAAACUUCAACAUAUAUCUAUUAAUCAUUGAACAAACUCAAUCAGUUAAUCAAACUAGGAACCUGAGUACCAUUGAACACCAGAGUGCGUUUACUUAAACUUCAAAAUCAAUUAAGUAAACCGACAUAUUCAAUUGAAAAAAAGUAAGGAGAACUUUUCUUACUACUGUGGGAGAAACCAUUGAAGGAGAUUCAAAGAGCCCACAAAUUAUUUCGGUAUCUUUCCUUCUUUUAGUAUCAUAUAUGCUUUCAAAUCACUCAUUAUCCGAUUAUAAGAAUUCAUGAUUUGAUUGUAGUUUUCUUGGCAUUGGAGCGAACAAGAACCUCUACUACUUGAUGCACUUGUACCACCAAAAUGAGGUCUAACUUGUUUAAAAAUACUACUAGGAACAACUCGUAAUCCUAAUCAUCUUACCCUUCCAAAGUGCUCUUACCCUAGCAUCUUAACAAUGACAUCAUUUGGAAAAACUUGAGACUCAUCUAUGAUGCUUUGUCUCAAAGCUGACUCAAUUUUUUUCCUAAUAUAGAAAAUUUGUUGUCAAAAUAAAUUACUAAUAGAACUUCAUUUGACAUACCUUGGUUGAUUGGUCAAUAAGAGUCUAUGGAACAUAAGUAUAACUCACACAUAUUUCAUUUGUUGCUUUAUUAACAUGUACUCCAUCUUGAUUCUUAUGGGUAGCAAUGUACAUUUGUGCUCGUCCAGGACAUUGUCUAAUCUCGACCAUUUAUAAAUUGAAAAACAUAAUCAAAAUAAUAUACUACUUAGGAAUAAUUACAUUUGAGAUUAAUUCACUCACCAUUUCAGCUCUUCUUGUAGCAUUGGCUUUGGAGCCACCAGUGUCUGAAAUUGUCUGUUUCUUUCAAUUAUCGAGGUUUUUUUUUACACAUUUUCUUCUAAAAAUAUAUUUAAACCUCAAUUAGAAAAAAUAAUUAUACAACUAUAAAGAAGUUCAUUUACAUAAAUACAUUCGUUGAUUCUUUAAAAUUGUAUUUAAUAAAAGAAAUCCAUUGAUCCGAUGAGAUUCCAUCCGACACCUUAUUCAUAAUCUGAGAUUUACUUUUAAGUGGAUCAUCAACUUCAUUCCACAUAUUAAUCUUAUUUGCAACCCACUUUUUUUCAAUAGAUAAAGAAACAUAUCAUCGAGCAACUGAUUUGACUGUGUCAAAGAAGAAUUUGGGCUUUAAAAUGAAAAUAUUGGUCAGCUUUUCUAUUACAUGUAAAUAUAAAAUUCAAAGACAAAAUAAAGUUAUAGUUUUUUGUCUCACAAAAAAAUUAACCGGUGGUAUAGUCAUUAGAAUUUAGAGCUUAUAUCUUUAUAAUAUGAUCGAAGAUAUGGUUGAAGUAUGUCAUAGGUAAAAUCAACCAUUUCUCAAUAUUGAUUGGAAAUAAAGAGCAAUCAUACACUAAAAUUCCACAAAAGCACAAAAGUAGGUUGUGUGCUUCCCGAAAUGGUUCAUCUUAAGCAUCAAAAUUAAUCAUGAUACAUUCUUCACCUGUUAAAUUCAUUACUUCCUUAGAUUUCACUUUGAUUUUCUUGAUAUUAUUUCUUGGAUCUGUUAUACGAAAAGAGAUUGGGUGAAUCUAUGAGAGACAUUACAUUGGCUUAGAAAGGUCAGUUGAAUAUGUAUUGAUAGUCUGAGGUAUUUACCUAUUGUGACCAUGACCCUAUGCGUAUUCGAUUAAUAUCUAGAAUGUUUUUCAGGUGUAACCUAGUCUGUUGGAGCUGGUUGUGUUGAGUCCUAAUUGGUUGGAGUUGAAUAUGAUGUAGAAUAAAUUGAUCGAAAUAACUGUGAUGAGUCAUGAUUUUUUACACCCAGAUGUGAUAUGAAAUGAACUGAUCGAGAUGACUGUGAUGAGUCCCGACUAACCAAAUAUGGAUGUGAUGAGUCCCAACAAAUAGGAGAUGGUUUUAAGUGUCCCAACCAAUAAAAGAUGGCUAUGAUGAGUUUCGACCAACAAGAGAUGGCUGUGAUGAGUCUCGACCAAUAGGAAAAAGCUAUGAUAAGUCCCGACCAAUCGGAGAUGGAUGUGAUGUCAAGUGAACUGACAAAGAUGGUUGUUAUUCAGGAAAAAAUGUCAGACCUGAAUAUGAAGUGUUUUGAUCUAUAGGAGCUGGAUGGGAUGCUGAAUAAACUGGUCGAGAUGGUUGUGGUGCAUACUAAAUUGGCGGAGCCAGAUUUGUUUUAUACAGAAAAAAAGGUGUUGAUUCAGUACCUUGUGAUGUAGAUACCAACAGAUGUUUUUUUUUUUUAAUUUGGUAUUUUAUUAAUAAUCAUCCAACAAUAAUGGACCAACCCAUUAUACAAAUUAACAUUCUAAGCCUAUUUAUUUGACCCGGCCUAACCCGGAUCCAUUUAAAACAUAUAUAAUCAGUAAGGUUUCCAAAAUAUACAAUAUUCCUAAUUCCUAUCUCAUUCAUGCCUCCUUUUAGUAUGUUACUUCCAAAGUACAUACCUACGGAUCUAGUUUUUAUUUUCUUGCAAGUGCUUGAACCUUGGCAUAUCGGCAGUAAACAAUCUAGUGUUUGGCAGUGAAUUGAAGCUCUAGCAUCUAAUUUGUCAAAUCAGAAACGAAUGAUUAGCAGUAAACUAAAGCUCUAGCAUCUACUUUGUCAAACAUACAUAACAUGAUAAAUUAAGUGUUGAACUAAAACAGGGAGGUUCUUGGUUUGUGCAGUGGAGAUAAUACCAUCUCCUAUUCACACUUUAGGAAUAGGGUAGUCAACAAUAGAAUCAGAGAGUUGCUUGCUUAGAAACAAAAGGAAAAAAGAACCAAAAUUGAUUAGGCAAAAUUGAUUAGGACUAAUACUAGUAGUGUAUACGUUGAGUAAUAAUGGAAAAUAGAAGAAUGAACAAGUUAGAAGUGAUUUUUAUUUUGUAACAAUAAAGGGGGAAAUGGGGUUGGUUUUGAAAGUCAACAGAAUGCUUACUUUCUUGGGGCUACACAACACUGCAGAUUGCAGAAUAAAUAUAAGUGGGUACUUGAUCAAUUAAUAAAGACAACCGACCUGGUUUUUUUUACUACUCACUUCACUGCUCCAUAUUGAAAACAUAAAUAGUAGUUACUAUUUACAUUCACAUUAAUCACCCUGUUCAAGCUGCUACUAACAAACAUAUAUCUAGGGCUACCUAUCCUUCUUAGUUCUCACCUAAUAUGCAUGCAUGCAACUAUAAAUAAAUGCCUAUAUUGUUAAUCCUACUCUAAAAUUAUUGAUAUAUAUUGUCAAAUAAAACUGAAGUUGUAGCAUAAAAAACAAAUCAAAAAUAGAGAGAGCUCUAUAACUGAAGCUCUAGCAUCAAAAAUAAUGUUAGGCCAUCUUCUCAACCAUCUACUUUAUCAAAUACAAGCUCUAUCAUAAGCAUAAGCAGUAGCAGUGGCAAGUAAGAUGACAAACCUGGCUUCUCAUUAGGAUGGAUGUUUUGGUCUCAGCUUGAACUAAAGACCUAAUGUGUUUAUGCCAUAUUGUAAGUAAAUAGAAACAUCUAUCUGUAAAUAAUAUCGAGGUUAUACAUGUUUCACUUGUUUAAAAAGAGAUAUAUCAACUUUAAAUCGUACAAGUUAGAGAUAUA